GGCCUACGGGGGGCAGCAGUGGGGGAUAUUGCACAAUGGGGGGAACCCUGAUGCAGCGACGCCGCGUGGGUGAAGAAGCGCCUCGGCGCGUAAAGCCCUGUCAGCAGGGAAGAAAAUGACGGUACCUGAAGAAGAAGCCCCGGCUAACUACGUGCCAGCAGCCGCGGUAAUACGGAGGAUGCGAGCGUUAUCCGGCUUUAUUGGGUUUAAAGGGUGCGUAGGCGGACGCUUAAGUCAGCGGUAAAAUUGCGGGGCUCAACCUCGUCGUGCCGU
rnacentral:rRNA from 1 species